rnacentral:lncRNA from 10 species
GUGCUGAAGUAGAGGUAGUACAGCAUGGCUAGACUGUUGUGAGAGGCUCAGAGAAAGCAGAGGGUGAGAUGGAUGAGUCCAGCAUUCUAAGACGAAGAGGGCUCCAGAAGGAGCUGAGUCUCCCCAGAAGAGGAAGUUUGAUAGAUUCCCAGAAGUGGAAUUGCUUGGUCAAACGGUAUGUGUAUUUCUAAUUUUAAUAGCUAUCACUUUACCCAAAAGAAUAGAAAAUCACCUUCACCCAUAAGAAUGCCCAUUUUCUACAUUCUCACCAGCACUGGAUGUCACUGCCCUUAAUUCUUUCCAAUCUUAUUACCCCUGGUCAUUACUUUAAAUUGCAUUUCCUUCACUACCACUGAUGUUGAGUAUAUUUUCAUAUGUUUACUCUUCAUUUACAUUUCUCUUUUCUUCACUUCAUGCUUAUUUUCACUGCCCAUUUUUCCAUUUAGUAGUGUUUUUCUUUUUCAGUUUCUACAAACUAUUAUGUGAAAGUAUUAAUCCGUUGUGGUAUGUGUGCAAAUGUCUUUGCAGUU